rnacentral:rRNA from 1 species
AUGAGCAAGCAAGGUGGAGCCAAGAAAACGAACGGGCAGAACGACCAGAAUCUCGUCAACAUCAUCCUCUCUUGGUCCCUCCGGGAUGUCGUCAACCAGGACCUCUUCAGGGACAAGGUGAACCCGAUACCUGACAGGUUCUUCGGUCUGAAGAGCUACCUGGAUUCGUUCAGGGCCCCGCUGCUGGAAGAAAUCCGAGCAGAGAUGAGCUCUAACCUGGACGCGCAGGCCAAUUGCUCCAAGCCCGUGCAAAUACGGAAAAUGGUUCCCAUGCCCCAGGACGCGAGAAGGCCCCCAAUGUACUUUGUGACCAUCGACGCACGCCGUGGAGCUUGUCCUCCAUGCAACGGUGACAUCGUCGUGCUCUCGGUGGCGAUGCCGCUCCGGCCAUCCGACCUUGCCAGCAACGGCACCUCGUACUGCCUUGCUCACGUCCUUCAAGUCUACGGCAGCUGCACCUUUCUGAUCCGAUCUUCCAAGAGAAUAGAUGAUUAUGUGAACAGCUACGCGUUCGUUGUUAGCUCGCUCACUCUCAUACCCUACGAACGCGUCUGGCGGUCCCUCCGCUACGAAGCUGCCGUCAAGAGAGAAUCGGCCCUUUUGAAGGUUAUCGCGGGGGAAGACUGCAUCUGCAUGCAGAGCACUUCCUUGACGGGUGCCCCGCCUCGCCCGGAGAUGGCCGGCGGCACCGACGUGCUGCUAGCGGGCAGGCUGUCCGCGUUUGGGCUCAACGACUCCCAGACUGGCGCCAUACUGAGCUGUGUAUCUGCGGUGCAGUGUGGCGGCGGGAGCAGCAAGGUUAGCCUCAUCUGGGGGCCGCCUGGCACGGGCAAAACCAAGACCAUCACCGUGCUGCUGCUGGCGGCGAUGAAGUUGAAAUACCGGGUCCUGACGUGCGCGCCGACGAACACGGCCGUCUGCCAGGUUGCGUCCCGCCUCUUGGCGCUGAGGAAGCAGCACCCCGACGCCUGUGCUGGAAGGCGCCGCUGCCUCGGCGAUCUGUCGCUGUUCGGCAACAGUGACCGCAUGCCCAUCGACAACGAUCUUGACGAGAUAUUCCUGGACACACGUCUAAGUCGGCUAAGAAAGUGCUUCUCGCCGGGGACGGGUUGGAAGCAGUGUCUUCGUUCACUGGAAAUGUUUCUGUCACGGAAGCAGAAAGAUGGCACACAACUACUCAGGUACAACUUCCCGACGCAUACGUUCCACCCGAUCUCGAAGGAGCUCAGCGGGUGCUUCGAAACAAUCAUGUCCCAAGUCCCUAUGCAUUGUAUCCUGGAGAGCAAUUACAGUAACAUUGCUUUGCUCAUCAAGAUGCUCGACGACUUCAGCAAGCUGCUGGGGCAAAAGAGCGUUCAGGAAGAAGUGCCUACGUGGUGGAGGCAGAAACAGAAACGCGGUGGUCUAAUGGGUUACUCGGAAGAAGUAAUCCGCAGCAUGAGGGAGAAAAUGUCGGCAAUUCUAGACGUUACGAGAACGUUGAUGCGAGACCUGAAACUUCCUCUGACAAGAAAGUUCUAUAAGAUCAAGGAGUUCUGCAUGGAAAGUGCCUCCCUCAUUUUCUGCACCGUGUCUGGCUCGGCUAAGCUGGAAGGGGAGGCGAUGGAUAUGCUUCUCAUCGAUGAGGCUGCACAGCUGAAGGAAUGCGAAUCCCUCAUUCCGCUGCAACUCUCCGGACUGAAGCAUGCAGUUCUUAUCGGUGACGAGUGUCAAUUGUCAGCUAUGGUCAAAAGCAAGGUUUCAGAUAAUGCGUUGCUGGGGAGAAGCCUAUUCGAAAGACUAGGUUUACUCGGACACAAGAAGCACCUUCUGAACAUGCAGUACAGGAUGCACCCUUCCAUCAGCAUCUUCCCGAACCCCAGUUUCUACGACGGGCAGAUCUUGGACGGCCCCAACGUCACCCACACGAAGCACGAGCGUAGCUACCUCCCGGGCGCAAUGUACGGGCCGUACUCGUUCAUCAACAUCGACGGAAGGGAAGAUCGCGGCCGCAGCAAGAGAAACAUGGCCGAGGUGGCCGCCAUCCUGGAAAUACUGCGCAGUCUCAAGCAAGCUUGUAUCAGCGCUGGGCAGGUGGUCAGCGUGGGCGUCAUAUGCCCGUACGCUGCGCAGGUGGAGGCGAUUCAGGGGAGGAUAGGCGACGUGAGAGUGAUGCGGCCCCUGGUUCUUCGCGUCAACUCUGUGGAUGGGUUCCAAGGCAGCGAGGAGGGCGUCAUCAUCCUCUCUACAGUCAGUUCCAACGCCACGGGUUCCAUCGGCUUCCUCUCCAACCGGCGCCGCGCCAACGUCGCCCUGACGAGGGCAAGGCACUGCCUCUGGAUCCUGGGCAACGCGACGACGCUGAGCGGCAGCGGCUCCAUCUGGGGAGAGCUGGUCCAGGAUGCCGUGGAGCGUCGGUGCUUCUUCGACUGGGACGAUGGUGGCGCAAGCGCCUCUCGGGACAUUUCUCACCGCGCUCGCCUGAUCGGGCCUGAACGCGGUGGAGCAGCUUCAGCUUUUGACACGCAGCCGGUGGGGUGUGAAGCAGACACUAUCUGUGGCGCGCUAGGUUCCCUGCGACUCACUUAG